UUACCAUGAUAAAGACAUGCAUUUAACAAAUCCUUGAACCUUUCCCAACAUUGAUAAAAGGUCUCAACUUCUUUUUGGCCAAAAUUCAUCAUCUACCUUUUUAGGGCA